rnacentral:rRNA from 1 species
CCAGACUCCUACGGGAGGCAGCAGUGGGGAAUAUUGGGCAAUGGGCGCAAGCCUGACCCAGCAACGCCGCGUGAAGGAAGAAGGCUUUCGGGUUGUAAACUUCUUUUGUCAGGGACGAAGCAAGUGACGGUACCUGACGAAUAAGCCACGGCUAACUACGUGCCAGCAGCCGCGGUAAUACGUAGGUGGCAAGCGUUGUCCGGAAUUACUGGGUGUAAAGGGAGCGUAGGCGGGAGGAUAAGUUGGACGUAUAAACUAUCGGCUCGACCGGUAGAGGCGUUCAAAACUGUCCUUCUUGAGUGAAGUAGAGGUAAGCGGAAUUCCUAGUGUAGCGGUGAAAUGCGUAAAUAUUAGGAGGAACACCAGUGGCGAAGGCGGCUUACUGGGCUUUAACUGACGCUGAGGCUCGAAAGCGUGGGUAGCAAACAGGAUUAGAUACCCCAGUACUC